CACGCAGUAAACGAUGAAUACCAGUUCUCCGCCGCGAUCGAGCGGAGGGGGACACAGCGAAAGCGUUAAGUAUUCCACCUGGGGAGUACGCCGGCAACGGUGAAACUCAAAGGAAUUGACGGGGGCCCGCACAAGCGGAGGAACAUGUGGUUUAAUUCGAUGAUACGCGAGGAACCUUACCCGGGCUUGAAUUGCAGAGGAACAUAGUUGAAAGAUUAUGGCCGCAAGGUCUCUGUGAAGGUGC
rnacentral:rRNA from 1 species